AGAAUCAUCUUCCAUUUCCUCCAUCCCUAAACCCUAAAUUAGAGAAAUCCCCAAUCUCGCUCCAAAUCUUCCUCCAUCCUUGGUCGGACUUCUAGAGAUUAGAUGGGAAGAAGCAGAACAAUAUAUAUCUGAGAGGCAUUGACGAUGUCUUUGAGGCCGGCGCACUUAAACAACGGUGAAAAUCCUCAGGACGGCUGAAAUUCCCAAUGAUAUGCAAGUUGAAGUUUCCAAUGAAGUGCAAGAGGGUGUGUCCAAUGAAGUGCAGUCACAAGCUCAAGUUUCAAAUUUGACUGCAAGAAAAAGAUCGAGGGCUGCAACUGGAACCACAACUAUGGCCGUGAGCAAUAAAUGGGCAUCUCAAAAAGGAAAAGUUGGAAAAUGAUGAAACAAGUUCUAACAAAGAAGUCAAAAACCACUACAAGCAAGGAAUGAGCAAUAUGCUAUAGAAUUUGAAGGUUUUUGCAAGCAAGGAAUGAUGUUAUGAUGCAGAAUUUGAAGGUUCUUGUGAAGUCUAUAGUUGGUUUUUGUGAAGUCUAUAUAUUAUUCUUGAUAUGAGGUGCUCAAUAACGAAAUCUCAAGUGUAUGUUUAGGUGACUAUGCUAUUGUUUAUUUCUUUUUGAGCAGUCCCGUUGCUUUGUGUACUGAGCAUGUUGCUCUAAUUUAUGGACGCUAUUGAAAAUCAAAUAUACUCUUUUUUGGCACCAG